rnacentral:rRNA from 1 species
GACGGGGGCCCGCACAAGCGGUGGAGCAUGUGGUUUAAUUCGACGCAACGCGCAGAACCUUACCAACCCUUGACAUACUUGUCGCGGAUUCCAGAGAUGGAUUCCUUCAGUUCGGCUGGACAAUGUACAGGUGCUGCAUGGCUGUCGUCAGCUCGUGUCGUGAGAUGUUCGGUUAAGUCCGGCAACGAGCGCAACAAACGUCCUUAGUUACCAGCAUUUAGUUGGGUACCCUAAGGAGACUGCCGGUGAUAAGCCGGAGGAAGGUGUGGACGACGUCAAGUCAUCAUGGCCCUUACGGGUUGGGCUACACACGUGCUACAAUGGCAUCUACAGUGAGUUAAUCUCCAAAAGAUGUCUCAGUUCGGAUUGGGGUCUGCAACUCGACCCCAUGAAGUUGGAAUCGCUAGUAAUCGCGGAACAGCAUGCCGCGGUGAAUACGUUCCCGGGCCUUGUACACACCGCCCGUCACACCAUGGGAAUUGGGUCUACCCGAAGGUGGUGCGCCAACUAUUUAUAGAGACAGCCAACCACGGUAGGUUCAGUGACUGGGGUGAAGUCGUAAAAAGGGAACC